AUGAACGCUGGCGGCGUGCCUAAUACAUGCAAGUCGAGCGAACAGACGAGGAGCUUGCUCCUCUGACGUUAGCGGCGGACGGGUGAGUAACACGUGGAUAACCUACCUAUAAGACUGGGAUAACUUCGGGAAACCGGAGCUAAUACCGGAUAAUAUAUUGAACCGCAUGGUUCAAUAGUGAAAGACGGUUUUGCUGUCACGUAUAGAUGGAUCCGCGCCGCAUUAGCUAGUUGGUAAGGUAACGGCUUACCAAGGCAACGAUGCGUAGCCGACCUGAGAGGGUGAUCGGCCACACUGGAACUGAGACACGGUCCAGACUCCUACGGGAGGCAGCAGUAGGGAAUCUUCCGCAAUGGGCGAAAGCCUGACGGAGCAACGCCGCGUGAGUGAUGAAGGUCUUCGGAUCGUAAAACUCUGUUAUUAGGGAAGAACAAAUGUGUAAGUAACUAUGCACGUCUUGACGGUACCUAAUCAGAAAGCCACGGCUAACUACGUG
rnacentral:rRNA from 1 species